GACACGAUUCCCAGACCUUACGGGGUGCAGCAGUUGCGAAACCUUCACACUGUGGGAAACCACGAUGAGGGGAUUCCAGUGCCAGCACCAAGUGUUGGCUUUCAUGUGUGUAAAAAGCAGAUAGAAUAAGGGCCGGGUAAGACGGGUGCCAGCCGCCGCGGUAACACCCGCGGCCCGAGUGGUGACCAUUAUUAUUGAGCUUAAAGCGUCCGUAGCCGGUCUGGUAAAUCUCUGGGUAAAUCGAGCGGCUCAAUCGUUCGAAUUCCAAGGGAGACUGCCAGACUUGGGGCCGGGAGAGGCUAGAGGUACUUCCGGGGUAGAAGUAAAAUUCCGUAAUCCUGGAAGGACCACCAGUGGCGAAAGCGUCUAGCUAGAACGGACCCGACGGUGAGGGACGAAGCCCUGGGGCGCGAACCGGAUUAGAUACCCGGGUAGUCCAGGGUGUAAACGAUGCGGGUUUGGUGUCGGAAGUCUUACGCGGGCAUCCGGUGCCGUAGAUAAAUUGAUAAGCCCUCCGCUUGGGGAGAACGGUCGCAAGA
rnacentral:rRNA from 1 species